rnacentral:lncRNA from 1 species
CGCGCCUCUCGGGCCUCAGAGUGAGGCUGCACGGCCCGGAGGCCUGAAAUCCGCCCUUUGUUCCCUCCCGGGACCGCAGAGCCACAGCACACUGAGCGCCGCAGUCUGGGGAGCCGGAAGCGCUGGCCGGGCGCAGGGCCAGCGACCGCCCCGGGUCUGCGCAGGCGCAGGUCGGGGAAGCCGCGCGCGGUCGGAUUUCUGCGGCCCGCGGCUGCCCUCUCGUGGCCACGAGGCGCCAUGGUACGGCUGCUUCCACGCAGCGGAGGGGCGCUGGCCCGGAGGCUGCGGGUCCAGACCGGCCAGCCAGGGAGGCCAGCCAAGCGCUGUGUUUUUCCAGGUCUGCGCGGGCCAGGGGAGCCCUACGUGUUUGCUUGGUGGGAGUGGUUUACUGGGAAAGUAGACGGAAGGUACCCUGCAAAUCGGCAUGCACUGUAUUGUUUGGGAGUCAACAGCCUGGAAAGCAAAUAUCAGCCGCUUUGGAAUGUGUUUCCUCUUGUCCGGGGUUUGAAGAUUAGUCAUGAAAAACAUCACUCUGCCCUUGCUGAAGUGCUUGCUGGCUACUCGAUCAUUCCACUUCUAUGUCCCAAGAAGGUCUGCUAAGGAGAUGGCUUCUUCAGGGCUUCCGUAUUUUCCAUGCCCGCUCAGCUCCAGACUCCGUCUCAUCCAUGGGUAUUAUCCUGUGCCCCGCGGGGAGGAGGGUGGGGGAGGGUUUCUGCGCCUGGAUUAUUGGUGGGAGGAGAGCAAGUGCAGAAAUGAAGCUAUGACUCUCGCAGAAGUCAUGCAUUCCGUUCAAGGAUAUUCCUGCCUGUAGCCUCCACACAUUGCCUCUGGCUGAGGCCCCUGAGAUUUUUCCGUGUGACCCGGUCACAUUGCAUCUGUAUAGAUUAUCAAAGCACCUCAUGACUGUGGAGGAGGAAGCUGGGGACAGAACAUGGAUCUGGAAGGCUCACAGCAUGGACUUGGUAGGGUGACACAAUGUCCCAUGUUCUUCAAGAAAUGUCUAGACUAGGUGAUUGAUUCUAUCGGAGAUCUGGCACAAUGCUCUUGCCACACAGAGGGGCAAAUUGAGAUCCAGAGAGAAGUGACUGGCCCAGGUCACUCAGCCAGCUGGUGACUGAGCUGGAAUUCGUUCCCAGGUCUCCUGACACCCAGUUCAUUCAUUUUUUGCACGUGUUUUCUGAGGACUUACUGUAUGCUAGGCACUGUUGUAGGUGCUAGGAAUAUACAAAGUGCCUGUAUGGAGCCCGUGUCUUGUAAUGUGUAUGUGGGGAGAUUGUGG